UACGUAGGGUGCGAGCGUUAAUCGGAAUUACUGGGCGUAAAGCGUGCGCAGGCGGUUUUGUAAGCCAGAUGUGAAAGCCCCGGGCUUAACCUGGGAAUGGCAUUUGGGACUGCAAGGCUGGAGUGUGGCAGAGGAGACUGGAAUCCUGGUGUAGCAGUGAAAUGCGUAGAUAUCAGGAGGAAUACCGAUGGCGAAGGCAGGUCUCUGGGCUGACACUGACGCUCAUGCACGAAAGCGUGGGGAGCGAA
rnacentral:rRNA from 1 species